UAAUACGCGCGUCCCUCCUCUUUGAUAUAGGUAAGGGGGAAAACCAAAUUUCCCAAAAUUUUGAAGUACCCUCCUUCCUCUACUUCUCUGCUCUCUCCUCUAGGUCACGAUUCACCUUGUGAACUAAGGCAUGCCGAAGAUUCCGCCUCUUUAUCUCCAUCGUCUUCGGCUUUGAUCUCUUCUUAAAAAAAGCGACGAUGAAUCUACCACGAGGCGUCACAAAAGCAACUGGAGUCAUCGAUACCGGUGGAGCACCGAAAGAAACUGUUCUAGAAGAGAGAAAGAGAAGAGGAGAGAGAGUUGGAAGAUAAAGAAAAGAGAUAAAGUGACAAAUAUAGAAGGAAAAGGAGCAGUAGUUGAAGAUGAAAUCGAGAAGGCAAAAGGAGGGGUUCAGAUUAGAGACAAAUUCACUUUUUGCUUUCAAUUUCAUAUACGUCUCUCUAAAAUCGUUUGUGGAGCCAAUUAUUAUAGGGAUCGAAGAAAAUCGCAAUUCUAGGGUUUUUUUUCACACAUCUGGUUCGAGAUCAAUUUCUCCAUUGCUCUCUCUGUCUCACUCUCAAAACAUCAAAUAAUUUAUCAAUUUCUCCUAGGUUUCCAUCUUUCAUCUUGUUUCACAAAAUAGACGAUUGGCCGAAGAACUAGGGCUUUUGAUGAAUCGGACAUCACCAACAACGAUAGCUACCCAUCACAAUUUGUGUUUUCUCUCGAACUCCACCGUUUCAACAUCGCACCACAAUACCAGCCUUGAGCCACCACCACACUGCCUUCGCAACAUCCCAAAACCACCACUACACCACCACAGGGCUUUCCACAAACCCUAAAAAGUCGCAAUCAGUUGUCGCUUAACAGAUUUAAGAGCUUUGGUUGUUAUGGAUAUUGUCGAUGUUUCCUCUUCUACUAUCAACUCUCUCAUCUCCAACCAACUUCAACCUAAACGUGCCUCCCACCUCUGAUCAGAUCUUCCAGCAGCAGAGAUCAGCCAAUAUAAAACUUGUAUUUUCCUCCUUUUGGCUCUCAUUCCUUGUUGUUGCAGCAAGAGCAGAAAAAUCAAAGUAUAGGUGGCUUUCCUCAAGAUCAGGUUGCUCUACAAAGUCACCAUUUGAAGAAAAAUUUCUCUCACAACAACCUCAAGCUUCAACUGGAUGGGCAAAUUUUCUAUGUGUAUGUUCUGUUUUCUCAUAUGGAUUUAUUCAGCUCCACUGGUCUGAAUGGCCACUAAAUCAAAGUGGCACAUCUGAAUGAUAUUGCACAAGCAAAGGCCUCUUGGGAGUUGGGCAUAGUGGGAUUUUGACAGCUCAUGCAAUCAUGACAGAUUCAGGAGCUUUACAUGUGGCAGGAGUCCCAAUUGUGAACCCAUCUACUGUUGUUGUUCGGGAGGUGAACCUAAUUGUGAACCCAUCAAUACAAUGUUGCUUUAUUUUAAUGUGGAAUUGAAUAUGGUUUAUCUGAAGUUAAAUUAAAAUUGUUGGAAUCCUGGUAAAAGGCAUAUUGGUUCUAAUGUUGAUUUUAUGGACAUUAAGUGGUUGUGCCAGAUUACAGGUGCAUAAAGAUGCAACAACAGAAAAUAGUAGGUGAACGCUUAAUGACUUUGACAUUGGGAGGCCACUGGGGAGAGGAAAUUUUGGUCAUAUCUACAUAGCUAAGGAGAAGAUCUGGAGUUAUCUGGUGGAAGUGAAAGAAGUGAAAGAUAUUAAUGACUUUGUAUUGAGGUUUGACCAAUUUCAGUCUGCAUGUUGGGCAUUGACCAAGUCAUGGCUUAAUGUUCAAGUUGAUUUGGAGUUAUCUGGUGAAAGUGAAAGAAGUGAAGAUAUUAAUUAUGAAUCACUUCUUGGACCUGAAAAUUGGCCACUUCAAGUAUUAAACCAACAACAACGUGACCUUUCUGCCCUUCUUCAAAAGCUUCAUUCAAGUAAGUCUGUACAUAAAGUUGUAACUCGAGGGUGUAAGGAGCAACAUCGCCAGAUUGAGGGGGUAUUCCUCGUUUACUUGACCUUAUAUGGUCAUGGAUAUCUCCAUCAGGAGGCGAUGAAGAUAUUUUCAGGCCACAUGGCGACCCACAGAUGAUCCGUUUUGGGACACAUUUAGUUCUUGUGCUUCGUCAUAUACUUGCUGAUGAAAUGAAAGAUGCUUUCAAGGAGAAGACAAUGACUCUUGCUGAUCUUAUUCUUCGUCAUUUACUUUAUUUCUUUUAACUUGUUUGAACUUAAUAGGGGAAAAUAUGUAAUUUUCAGGUAUGCUAUGUUUCUUUUUUCAAAACAACAUGAAGAGUUGGUAGGAAUCUAUGCAUCUCAGCUUGCACGCCAUCGUUUCAUUAACCUUUUUUGUCCAUAUGAUGGAGUUAUGCUUGAAUGGCAGAGUACCUCCCGUUUCCCCUGGAGAUGAUUCAAAUGGUAGUUUUGAAAAAGGAAAGAGUAUGCAAGGAGGAUCCAGUGUCAUUAGAGAUUGGUACUGCUAUUAGAACAAUGUUACCGCAACAUGGUGGAGCUAAAGAUCCUGCACAGUUACUUAAUGAUCUUGCUGGUGAUGGGAUUACAAGGAGCUACCAAAAUCAUGGACAUGGAGGAGAGAAGGAAAUUAAGCAGUCUGGUGUGAACAAUGAGCAAUUCUAUGUUGUUGAUCAUAUUUGUGUUUUCUGAAAUAGAGCAGCCAUAUUAUUGCAUUAAUGGUGUUGUUCAAAUCCAACUCAAACAGUCCUAGGUGGAGCACCAACUUUGCGGUGAAGUUGAAAUACAAAGUCACCUUAGGCAUCCUAAUAUCCUUCGACUAUAUGGUUAUUUUUAUGAUAAGGUGUGUAAUGGCACAAACAAUCAAACUAAUUUGGUCAGUUUCACAAGUGGGAAUACUAUUGCUACUAAGCUACAUGGUGAAGUUGGGUGGCCAGAUAAAUCUGUUACUUGAUCAUCAAAGUUUUUUCAAACAUCAAAACCGUGUAGAUUCAAAACACCUUCCAAAUCCCACCUCUUUCAUUUGUAUAUUUGUUUUUUUUUUUGAAGCAUCUUCUUACUAUGGUUAACCAAAAUAUACUAAAGGAGAAAACAUCUAGUGGUAUGCUGGGUGUAAACAACGAACGGUGCACACUUCUUCACCUUCUUGGCUGUUGUCUUCUUUCACAAGCACAUCUUCAAUCAUCAUGGGGUUCUACUGAAAAGAAAGUUAAUGAAGCCGUUUCUUGCUUUUUUUUUAGGUUAAUUUGUUCGAAAUCUAACACUGCUGGAAGAAGAUCGUGGAUACUUUCAUUUGGACUUGGUUAUACAAAUAUGUUAUAUAGUUAGGGAAAACCUCUUAAUAACAAUGUACAAUUAGGUCCCCUUAAUACCAAUGUAUUACAAUGUAUUGUAUUUUUGUAUGACAUUAACUUUUGUGCAAUGUAUUAUAUUUUUUGUA